rnacentral:rRNA from 1 species
CAGAAGAAGCACCGGCCAACUACGUGCCAGCAGCGCGGUAAUACGUAGGGUGCGGGCGUGUCCGGAAUUAUUGGGCGUAAAGGGCUCGUAGGCGGUUUGUCGCGUCGGGAGUGAAAACGCCGUGCUUAACACGGCGCUUGCUCCGAUACGGGCAGACUAGAGGUAUUCAGGGGAGAACGGAAUUCCUGGUGUAGCGGUGAAAUGCGCAGAUAUCAGGAGGAACACCGGUGGCGAAGGCGGUUCUCUGGGAAUGACCUGACGCUGAGGAGCGAAAGUGUGGGGAGCGAACAGGAUUAGAUACCCUGGUAGUCCACACCGUAAACGUUGGGCGCUAGGUGUGGGGUCCAUUCCACGGAUUCCGUGCCGCAGCUAACGCAUUAAGCGCCCCGCCUGGGGAGUACGGCCGCAAGGCUAAAACUCAAAGGAAUUGACGGGGGCCCGCACAAGCGGCGGAGCAUGCGGAUUAAUUCGAUGCAACGCGAAGAACCUUACCUGGGUUUGACAUACACCCUGCCGCCUCAGAGAUGGGGCUUCUUUUGGGGGUGUACAGGUGGUGCAUGGCUGUCGUCAGCUCGUGUCGUGAGAUGUUGGGUUAAGUCCCGCAACGAGCGCAACCCUCGUUCUAUGUUGCCAGCACGUAAUGGUGGGGACUCAUAGGAGACUGCCGGGGUCAACUCGGAGGAAGGUGGGGAUGACGUCAAGUCAUCAUGCCCCUUAUGUCCAGGGCUUCACGCAUGCUACAAUGGCCGGUACAAAGGGCUGCGAUCCCGUAAGGGGGAGCGAAUCCCAAAAAGCCGGUCUCAGUUCGGAUUGGGGUCUGCAACUCGACCCCAUGAAGUCGGAGUCGCUAGUAAUCGCAGAUCAGCAACGCUGCGGUGAAUACGUUCCCGGGCCUUGUACACACCGCCCGUCACGUCACGAAAGUCGGCAACACCCGAAGCCGGUGGCCCAACCCUUGUGGAGGGAGCCGUCGAAGGUGGGGCUGGA